rnacentral:lncRNA from 1 species
AUUCCAGGUUUGGGCUGGCUGGCUCUUCCCCACCCUAUGCCUGGGUCUCAACUUUCCUUCCUAUGUGAGCCUGGCCUCUGAUCUCAGGAGGGGAAACUGAGGCUGGCACUUGCUGACACCCAGCCAUCAAGAGCAUCUUUAAGGAAGUAUCUUUUCUUUAUGAGGGGCCUUUCUCCAUCAGUAUCCCCUGCUGGGACUUACAGAUGUGAAUGUAGGGGAUCGUAGAGGUGGGUCUGUGAGAAGGAGGAAGGGAGUUCCUACUAAAAGGACUGCCAACCUUCUCACCACUACCCCCAGCCACUCCCCUGGGCCCCUCAGCAGCUCUGGCCCCCCAAGGAGGCCUCUCCCUGGGAAUCUCUGUCAGGGCUCUGCUGCUGCCACCACCAGAAAAACCAGCUCUGGCUCCAGGCCUGGCAACAAUCUCCACCGAGAGCUGGAGUAUGUGGGUGAGUCUGGGGUGAGAAAGGACCUAGGAGGGACGCACCGAAGCUCACCAUCCAGGACAGCCAGACCCAGUGACCCUUCCAACACCCCAGCACCCCACUUCAGCCAGGCCUGGACCAUCACAGAGUCAUCGUAUUUCAGAGCUGGAAGGUCAAUAGAGAUCAUCUGGUCCUAGCUCUCGGUCUACUGAAGUCUGGUUUCAUCGCUGCCCAAGGUUACCAAAUAGAUUAAUAGCAGAAACGGGAUCUGGACCAAGACUCCUGACUUCCCAGUCCAAGGAUUUUUUCAGAGACAUGAAACAUUCCAGGUUCCUGGGAGCCAUUAAGGAGAGUCUACACACAGAAGAGCCAGAAUGGGGGUGGUAGUGGAGGUAGGACCAUCUGAUCCUCAGGCUAGGAGCCUCCAGCCCCCAGAGCAACCUCAGCUCUGUGCAGGUUGUAGCUGCUGCAGCAGCAGCAGAGUGGCCUCCUACCAGGUGCCAGCUUCCUGGGGCAAUCUGGAGCCAGGCUUCCUCCCUUACUGCCAGGCAUUGCAUGAGGUCUAACUAGAAGGGGGUCUCCUGUCCCCUUCCCUGGGCUUCUCUUAGUAAGAACAGUUUUGCCAUCAUGGAAAAGAAAGGCAAGAACCAUGUGAUGCAGUCACCAUUGCAUCUCCAGCAUCUAGUAUCCAGGUUGUACCCAGUGUGCACUCAAAUGUACUAUUCUUCAAUGAACUUAGAGUGAGAACACCAAGACACUAACCCUGGUUAUGCUUCUAACACUGAGCAGAGGUAAUCAGGGAUUCCAGCCAUAGUGACCGGGCCUGGGGGCUGGGAGGGAACAUGAAAGGGAAGGGCUACACUGGCUCUUCUGGGGGUACUGCUGGAAGCUGGGGGUGGGAGAGAGAGAUUGGCUCCUCAGUUCAGAGUCAUAGGAAAGAGAUGUUUGUGUGUGUGCGUGUGUGUCUACUCCUAACGUUGAGUAAUCUUGCAGAUCUCACUUGCCUAUCUCUCUCAGUUUUUUCAUCUGUAAAAUGAGAGAGUUGGAGUGGUGAUCUCUUUGAUCUCUUCCAAGUCCUGAGAUGGCAUGACUCCACUCUUUAAGUGUGGGUAGAUCCCACAGGAAAGUGACUGCUGGUUCCCCAACUCCAGCAACUAGGCUCCACCUUUUUGGCCUAAACAAGUGAGAAGGAUUAUCUGGAAGAUGGGAAUUAAAACACAGGUGGUAGGGGACUGUGAGGGGAUGGCAGGGGUAGGAGCUCAGUAUCCUACGACUGGAGGCUGGGCCCAUGACCUAUAAUAAAAUCAGAGUUGGAGCAGCCCAUACCUCCACCAAUCCACACAUCUAGGCCUUAUUUCCCUCCUCAAAGCUUUGGCUGGAGAUGGAGGUAGGGGAAUCACUGCCAGAUCUUGCUGGGCAACAGAGGCUCCCUUGCUACUGCUCCUGGGCCUGAGAAUCAAACUGUCCUGUCCAGAUCAGGCCCUAUCUUUUGAAGGAGAAAUAUUUCUGUUACUCAUUACCCUAGGAACACCCUAUGGAAUCCCACUGAGGUCUCACUGUGCACACACACGCACACACACUCUCCUCUACUCUGAAGAUUAUACAUUCCUAUAAUUCAUAUUUGCUCUAUAUGCAUUAGACAGACAGGAGGUGAGAAGUAAUACAAGGCAUCUAGUUAAGAAAAUGGGGGAACAGGAGAUGAACAAAUGGGGACCACACCCUAUCUAGAAGGUUCCCUUCCUUAGACCCCCAUCCAUCUAAACCCCCUUAUUACCACCCUGGCACCUAAUAUUGUGCCCAGGGAAAGGAAGGGGUCAGAGUGACGGGCAUUCUCAGCUCUCCUAUAGUCCCCAACAGGUGCCCCAGUCCUGGUGCUCUAGAACAUCAUGGAGAGAAAAGAAGGAAAUAGAAAUCCCCCAUCCACUCUCUGGGCAUCAGGCUUCCUGCACCCUGAUGACUGCAGAAACCAGCUGAGCUCUGAGUCAGCCCCAGUUCCAGGCAGCCGUUCCAGAGCCCAGGGGGUAGGCCAAGGCACCUCUAGGAAACCCUGGGGUGAACAGGAUCCUCACAAGUCCCACCUGCCUGCCCAUCUACACUGGGUCACCACGUCUAUUCCCCAAGACAGCUCAGGCCUAGGCAAGGCUUUGGCAGAGGUGUCAGGGAUCCCAGACAUAGUGACCUGGCCUGGGGGCUGGGAGGAAACAAGAAGGGGGAGGGCUAUACUGGCUUUUCUGGGGGCACUGCUGGAAGCUGGGGGCAGGAGAGACUGGAUCCUCAGUUCAGAGUCAAAGAAAGGAGGAUAUGUGUGUGCGUGCGUGUGUGUCUAUGUGUUUGUGCAUGUGUGUCAGUGCCAGGUUGGGCUCAGAAGCAAGUGUCCUGAUGGUUCAGGCAAGUCCUACCUGUAAAUGAUGCCAGCAGUAGCAGCAGCAGCAGCCAGGCCUCAGGCCCCCACAUCUCGGCUCCCAGGGACAGGGGCAUGGUUGAAAGGCAGACUGCCCAGCGUUUCUGAAGUUCCACCGAGAUCUCCCUGGGAGCCGGCUGCAGACUUGAAUAAGGAACUGACCCAGAAGGCAGGAAGCUGCAGAGUUCUUGCCUCUCGCACUUGGGUCUCCACUAGGGGACCCAGCCCCAGCCCCGGCCCCGUUCUACACACCCAGCCGUAGCUACCCCCAAGAAGCCGUGAUCGGGAGCUCCGAGCUCCCCCAGAGCUGCUUCCCACGCUGUGGCCAACAACGACGGCAGAAACCUGGGAACCUGCUCAGCAGGUCAGAACAGGUGCGUCUCUGGGGGCUGGGCCUGGCACGGAGACUCAGCAGCCACCGCCCCCAUGGCCUGGGCUAGCUAAUAGGCGCCAGGGAGGGAGGGAAGGAGGGAAGGACCUGGGUGGGGGCGGUGGGGUCCCAUCCUCAGCUCCAGGCUUUACCUGCGAGUAUGUGGAAGGGGCUAUGAAGGGAGAGGCAAGGGUGGGGACUAAGGGAGGCCCAGGGCACCAGGCCAGGCCAGGAUGAAAGGGGCAAGGCCCUUGUGGGUAGAAAGGAACCCAAGCGUCCCACACCCCAGCUAGCCUUGGUACCUCCUGGGGGCCUUGACAAGUUCCCGGAUCUCCUGGAGGGUCUCAGCUUUGGAGCCACAGAAUCGGAGAAGGCCAGAACUGAGGAGGAAGGAGUCUGUCAGUGCUGCGCUGUAUACUUCAUUCUUCAGAAGAGAAAACCAAGGCCCAGAGAAGGGGAGGGACUUGCCAGAGGACACACAACUUAGUCUCAUGGUUUGCUCAGACACCUCUAUCCCUGAAGUAGGGAAGUAGUUCAAAGACCCCUGAGAAAGAACUUACGUAACUCCUCUAACUCCACCUCCAUAUAUAAGAGGCCAAGGAAGUGGCCAAGGAAUUAGCCGUAGGGGUUCCUGGUUUCCCUAUCAGGGCCCUCUCUCAGCUUCAACACCUUGUUACCUGGCCAGGAGUCCCAAAAGCGCAGCAGCACAACUUGAAUGGAGAGAGGUUCCUCUCUACCCUCUCCAUGGCCAUUUUACCCAGUUUACUCCAAGGUCAUUGGACAAGACCACAUGUCUGGACUUUGCAAGGAGAAUCUUAAUUUCAAGUACUCUAGCCCUGUAUUCCUAUAAGUACAUCCUUGUCAGACCAUGUGUUUCCAUUCUGAAUGCAUAAAAAGUGACCGCCAAAUUACACAAAACCUUCCUGGCCUCCCUGGGAUAGCCAGAGGAAGAGGGCAUAUUCUGAGCCCACUGAAAAUUUAGUGAACGGGAGGGACAACAUCACUUGCAGUCUAGGGCUAAUACAAAAACCAGGUAAAUACAGAGAUAGACGUGGGAGAAGAAAAAAAUAUAGGUUAAAGUUUUGCCAUAGGACCCUUCCAUCUGGAGAAGGCAGAAAGGAGGAAUAAAGAAGCCAUAAGGAA